CCUACGGGAGGCUGCAGUGGGGAAUAUUGGACAAAGGGCGAAAGCCUGAUCCAGCCAUGCCGCGUGUGUGAAGAAGGCCUUCGGGUUGUAAAGCACUUUCAGUGGGGAAGAAAGCCUUGGGGCUAAUACCCUCGAGGAAGGACAUCACCCACAGAAGAAGCACCGGCUAACUCCGUGCCAGCAGCCGCGGUAAUACGGAGGGUGCGAGCGUUAAUCGGAAUUACUGGGCGUAAAGCGCGCGUAGGCGGUCUGAUAAGCCGGUUGUGAAAGCCCCGGGCUCAACCUGGGAACGGCAUCCGGAACUGUCAGGCUAGAGUGCAGGAGAGGAAGGUAGAAUUCCCGGUGUAGCGGUGAAAUGCGUAGAGAUCGGGAGGAAUACCAGUGGCGAAGGCGGCCUUCUGGACUGACACUGACGCUGAGGUGCGAAAGCGUGGGUAGCAAACAGGAUUAGAUACCCUAGUAGUC
rnacentral:rRNA from 1 species